rnacentral:rRNA from 1 species
UAGCCGUAAACGAUACUCGCUAGGUGUCGGCCACGGUGCGACCGUUGUCGGUGCCGUAGGGAAGCCGCGAAGCGAGCCACCUGGGAAGUACGGCCGCAAGGCUGAAACUUAAAGGAAUUGGCGGGGGAGCACAACAACGGGUGGAGCUUGCGGUUUAAUUGGAUUCAACGCCGGAAAUCUUACCGGGACCGACAGCAACAUGAAGGCCAAGCUGAAGACUUUGCCGGAUUAGCUGAGAGGAGGUGCAUGGCGUAGACGUCU